UACGUAGGGCGCAAGCGUUAUCCGGACUUAUUGGGCGUAAAGAGCUCGUAGGCGGUUUGUCGCGUCUGCCGUGAAAGUCCGGGGCUCAACUCCGGAUCUGCGGUGGGUACGGGCAGACUAGAGUGAUGUAGGGGGAGACUGGAAUUCCUGGUGUAGCGGUGAAAUGCGCAGAUAUCAGGAGGAACACCGAUGGCGAAGGCAGGUCUCUGGGCAUUAACUGACGCUGAGGAGCGAAAGCAUGGGGAGCGAACAGG
rnacentral:rRNA from 1 species